GACGAACGCUGGCGGCGUGCUUAACACAUGCAAGUCGAACGGAAAGGCCCUGCUUUUGUGGGGUGCUCGAGUGGCGAACGGGUGAGUAACACGUGAGUAACCUGCCCUUGACUUUGGGAUAACUUCAGGAAACUGGGGCUAAUACCGGAUAGGAGCUCCUGCUGCAUGGUGGGGGUUGGAAAGUUUCGGCGGUUGGGGAUGGACUCGCGGCUUAUCAGCUUGUUGGUGGGGUAGUGGCUUACCAAGGCUUUGACGGGUAGCCGGCCUGAGAGGGUGACCGGCAACAUUGGGACUGAGAUACGGCCCAGACUCCUACGGGAGGCAGCAGUGGGGAAUAUUGCGCAAUGGGUGGAAGCCUGAUGCAGCAACGCCGUGUGCGGGAUGACGGCCUUCGGGUUGUAAACCGCUUUCGCUCAUGACGAAGCUUUGUGUGACGGUAGUGGGUAAAGAAGCACCGGCUAACUACGUG
rnacentral:rRNA from 1 species